ensembl:antisense Gm17130 predicted gene 17130
UGUGUUCUGUGUCAUUGGCAUACCUUGCUAUAAGCUCUCUGACCACCAGCAUUCUGAACUGCUGCUGCCUUGUGGGUUCCAUCCACUACCAGAGGGGAAAAAAAUAAAGAGGAACAAAUGGUCCCCUGGGCGUUGGAACCAAGUGAGCAGAUGCUUCCAAAGGAAGAUUUAAUGUUUAAAAAAAAAUGUCCUAAUGGAGAAUGUGCUACCAAGCAAGAGCACCGUACAAUGCUGGAGCACCGUACAAGCUGGGAAUAACACUGAGAAGGAAGAAGUUUCAUCCUCAAACACACAGCCAGCUCUCCACAGGCUCGGUGAGGUAUGCCAGUAUCAGGUUCCAAAGGGAGCCUUUCCUCCCAUCUUGUGGGCAUUUAGGGGCUUCAUCCCUUACCAUUUGCUGGUAUGAAAUCAGGUUUCAAAAAAAAAAAAAAGAAUUUGAAACUAUUUUAAUCUAAAAUUACAAUUAGAAACCUAAGCCUGCUGGGGAAGAAAACGCUCCAGAGUCGAUAUCUGUACAUUGUUUGACACCAUCUAUUUAGGGCCAAAGUAUCCCUUCUUAAUAUGGAUUAGUGAGAUGUAAGGAAGCUCUGCCUCUGCAAGAAGCCAGCUUGAACCCUUGCUUUUGUUCUAGCUCAAGCUGGAAAAGCUGGAACUCCUUGGCUGUCGACUUAAGCAAAAACAUUAUACACCAAGUCGCCAAGGAACGUAGGGUUUAGUUGACCUGCAGCUUAUGCCUGAUGCCCCGGGUCACUGGUUCCUCUACAGCAAAGCACUAUGAUCUAAACCAUCCACAAGCGAGACGGACCAGUGAUUACUGACCCACUACUGAUUGAUUAUAUAACAACCAUUUACAUUUGACUACAAUGUGGAAAACCAUCACAGGCUACUGGGGAAGCACAGAACACUGCCUCCUAUGUUCUGUGUCACUUACUAGUGACCAGAAGGCCAACGCGAGUCUGCUCUCAGCAAUCCUGAAAAUAUAGAGACCUGACACCAGAUACAUAUUUUGAAACAGAAAUCUGUCUAGGGUAGGGUCACUGUAUCUUGGCAAUAGUGACAUUUUGUAUUUUCUGUUGUGAGGGGCUGUUCUGGGACAGAAGGACAUUCAAACUGUUAGCUGAUCACUGGACCCAUCAUCCACUGUGACAGUAAGAAACGUCUUGUCAGAUGUCUUCUGUGGGGCAACAUCACAUUAAAGGAUGAGAAACAAUGGUUUGGAGAAAAUAUGACUUCAAUAUAAAUAUAUACAUGGUAAAAUGAAAUGGACCACGUGGAAGCACCAAAGGUUCUCACACUGAUUAUUGCAUUCCUAAGUGUAUGUGCACAGCCAAAGUAUACUCACUGUGGACAAGAAAACAAAAGUCUUUCCACAUCAGCAGCAGAGUAAGUUUUGUGAAGCCUUCUGCAUCAUAUUCCACGACACCUCUAAGUAAGAAAACACACAAAUAAACCCUCAUAAAAAAGCUUUAAAAGCAAUGGAAGUUAAGACUCUAUUUAAAAGGCAAAUGAACACAGACUUAAGACCCAGAAGCAUGGCAAGGGUCUAGGUUUUGGAAUGACAACACUAAGGCUCACGUUGCAGCCCUGCCACUUCCUACUGUUUAUGACCUCACUCCAAUCUCUUAACCUUUAGACACUUAGCUUCCUCAUCUAGCAGGAAAUUAUGAUAUUGGUAAACCUUUUAAUAGGACUGUGAAAAACUGACCAAGACAAACCAUGAAAUGGAAACAUCAGUCAUCAGUUAUGAGUAAAAAGACAAACUAUGAAACCAGUCCACUGAGCAUGAUGUCGCAUGCCUUUUAUCCCAGUAUUUGGGAGGCAGAGACAGGUGGACCCCUGCAUCUCUAUGAGUUUGAGGCCAGCCUAGUCUGCAUCGCUAGUUCAACAGCUGUGCUACAAAGAUAGACCCUGUCUCAAAACAAAACAAAGCCAGGUACAGAUGACAUUACCAUACCAUAUGUCACCUGACUACUUGGACAAUGAGUUCAAGUCUCACUUUACCUAGAGGCUAAACAAGAAUGAUACUGACAGUAUAACUGAGACUGUACAAUGAAUUCUUGCAUUGGAACCUUAGCUUCUAUCUUCGCAACAAAGCAGCAGCAUCAGUGGGAAGUUCUGUUGGGGGUGCCAAUGCACAACAGCUCCUCACUUGCUGAGGGGGCUGGCAGAACCUGGUGGGCUUGCCUCAUCAAUUUCUGACAAGAUCAGAGUGCCUAAAGGAUGUUGUCACCAAAGUGUGACAAUAUUGUUCAUGAACUGGUGAACAGAAGACACUCAUUCACACAAUUGAGUCCCUGAAGCCUUAGAGAUGUCUCCUCCCGACUAGUCAAUGAUAUUGACGGUUCCCAGUUGAAUACUGAGACAUUUCAGGAGACAGACAGAUCAGGUGAGCCCCUCAAGGAUGGUCUGUUUAUCGCUCAGACCUAAACCAACAAUUCUGUCCUAUGAAUGUAUAAUUAACCUAAUACUGUAACAGUGAGGGCUGAACUCUUUAAUCCACUUCCUCAUAGGCAAAAACAAAAUAUAAUGCCUUCUGUGCCUAAACACAUAAUAUGGUAAUACAGUGGUAAUCACUUGUACUUUAGUAACUACAUACAAGUGAUGCUGUUAUUAUAAUAUGUGCAUAAUAAAAUAUACAAAGUGUUUAUUAAAAGAGAGUAACAUUAAAAACACAUGAAAAUUC